rnacentral:lncRNA from 1 species
CGUUGAUCUCUGGAAUAAUAUUAAAGAAAAUUCAAAUGAGAAAGACCCUCUCCAAACGUCUGAAGGGAGCAAUCCCAAGCAGGGAACAGCAGCGGCCCAAAGGCCUGGCCUAACCCGCUCGAUAGCAGGAAAGACCUGGCAAAGUAGAGGGGGAGGCUGGGCCACCGACCAGCGCCGAAGCUAAACGGUUCACGUACGCUGAAAAGAGGAGUUCAGGGCACAUACCCUGUCGGCAGUACGCGAGCACAGAAGCCCGCCCUUCAGAGGACUGGUUUAAGAAGGUAAAGUGGGCCUCGGAAGUGCUUCCGAACUUUAAUAUGGAAACUCACAGACCGCCCCAGCAACCCAAAAGGCAGCUGCAAAGCGAUCCAGGAUACUUCCAAAUGUGUCCAUUCGCGCUUAUUGCCAAGGAGAGGACGCUGAUAGGCGUCGUCGACAAAGGCAGCUCGGGUGGAAGAAUCCCGAGGAGCCAGUGCUUCGAGCUCCUGGACAAGGACCCCGGCCCACCUCCAGUCUGCAAAGACAUGGGAUGGUUCCAGGGCAAGACCAAAAGUUCGGGUUCAGCUCCGUCACCAUAAAGGUGUACAAGUCGGACGCAGUCGGACAACCCAGUCGAGCAGGAUGUUGCCUCGGAGAUGGAGCCACCCGAGUUGGCCCACGAAGGUGACUCCCUAGAGUCGGAGCUGAUGCUGGAGUUCGAGGCAAUGUGCCGGAACGGAAGUUCCGGCGAGUCGGACGCCGACAAUACAGUGGUGGAGAUAGGCAAGGAUCCCUCUGAGGCUGCAAAGUAGUGGACAAGAUCGUACGGAUUAGGUGUAAAUGCCUCGAAAACGGAACUUGUACUAUUCACUAACAAAUACAAAACUCCGCCACUCAACCCCCCAACACUAAACAAAUGUGGGUUAACCUUUAGCGACAUUGCACUGAAAUCACUAAACGCGAUUUCGUCGAAUUCGACCACAGUGGCAAAUUGUCGCAAAUCUCUACAACCAGGACAUUGAAGGCAACUGCAUGGCAGACGAGUUGGCCAGAUCCGGCACUACACUCCCCUUUAAUCAAGAUAAGGAGGAAAUACGGAUGCCAAUGGCCACUUGCAAGCUCAAAAUAAAAGAGUACUAUACCCUGCAAACAAACAGCAGCUGGCAAAUGGUCACGGGAUGUCGCAUCACCCGACAAACGUGUCCAGACUUCUCGAAAAAGAGCACCGUUAAACUAUGCAAACUUAGCACACACAGGUGCAGCGUAGUCAUUCGCUCUCUUACAGGGCAUUGACAACUCAUAUAGACUGCAAAUCGAG